rnacentral:rRNA from 1 species
AUUGAACGCUGGCGGCAGGCCUAACACAUGCAAGUCGAACGAGUGGCGGACGGGUGAGUAAUGUCUGGGAAACUGCCUGAUGGAGGGGGAUAACUACUGGAAACGGUAGCUAAUACCGCAUACCAUCGGAUGUGCCCAGAUGGGAUUAGCUAGUAGGUGGGGUAAUGGCUCACCUAGGCGACGAUCCCUAGCUGGUCUGAGAGGAUGACCAGCCAAACUGGAACUGAGACACGGUCCAGACGCCUACGGGAAGGAGCAGUUGGGAAUAUUGCACAAUGGGCGCAAGCCUGAUGCAGCCAUGCCGCGUGUAUGAAGAAGGCCUUCGGGUUGUAAAGUACUUUCGGCUGGGAGGCGUUACCCUCAGAAGAAGCACCGGCUAACUCCGUGCCAGCAGCCGCGGUAAUUC